rnacentral:rRNA from 1 species
CGCCCAGACUCCUACGGGAGGCAGCAGUGAGGAAUAUUGGUCAAUGGCCGAGAGGCUGAACCAGCCAAGUCGCGUGAGGGAAGACGGCCCUACGGGUUGUAAACCUCUUUUGUCGGGGAGCAAAGCGAGUCACGUGUGACUCAUUGAGAGUACCCGAAGAAAAAGCAUCGGCUAACUCCGUGCCAGCGGCCGCGGUAAUACGGAGGAUGCGAGCGUUAUCCGGAUUUAUUGGGUUUAAAGGGUGCGUAGGCGGGCUUUUAAGUCAGCGGUAAAAAUUCGGGGCUCAACCCCGUCCGGCCGUUGAAACUGGGGGCCUUGAGUGGGCGAGAAGAAGGCGGAAUGCGUGGUGUAGCGGUGAAAUGCUUAGAUAUCGCGCAGAACCCCGAUUGCGAAGGCAGCGUACCGGCUCCACACUGACGCUGAGGCACGAAAGCGUGGGUAUCGAACAGGAUUAGAUACCCCGGUAAA